GACCACCCCUUUGGAUCAUCCUUUGCGGCUUCGCUCCAAGUUUCCUCGCUCUGGACCCCUGCACGUGCGUCUGGACAGAGUUUUGGUUUCGUUCUCGCCUGCCUGUGCACAGCCUGCUCAGCCCCUGCUCCUCCAAUCGCAUUCCGCCUCCCGCCUCCAGACCCGAGACUUUCAUCAGCUGACUGCGGACGUGUUGCAUUUUAGUCAUGUUAUCUUGCAAUCGAUGUAAGUUAGCAGAGACAAAUACUGCGAACGGAGUGGAUCAUCUUUCUCAGAUUCGACCUUUCAACAUCUCAUCAGGAAUGUUCAGGGGUGUCAUGCAGGACCCCUUACUUACAAAGGAGGAGGUUCGUUGGGCAUGUGGUAUACUGUACAUCUUUAAAAAAGCUGAAUGCGAUAUUCAUUCUGGCUUUGGGAUACAUGCACAUACAUGCUCCUUUAGAAUCACAGCUACGGUUUUGCGGUUCUGUGGGGCUUUAUGAACAGUGAAGUGGAGACGUGGUGCUCUGUCACUCUGAAAUGCAUUUUGUUUUGCAAAAGAGGAAGAUCUGGUUUGACAGA